AUGGUCAGCUGGACGAACAUCUGUAAACCGCGGGACCAGGGUGGCCUCGGGAUCAUGUCCUCUAGGCGCAUGAAUAUCGCCUUACUGACGCGCUGGCUCUAGAGGAUCGCCAAUGGUGAGGGUGGUCUCUGGUUGGACAUCGUCAGGAACAUAUACCUUCAAGACCAGCCUCUUGCCUUCUGCCAGCGUUCUAGAGGCUCCCAGUUCUGGCAGGCUGUCAUCCAGCUCAUACCGAUCCUCCGGAUUGGUACAUCCAUCUCGGUUCGAUCUGGCUCCUCGACGUUGUUCUGGUUCGACAGGUGGGUGGGGGACCGCCCCCUUGCCGCCCGUUUCCCGAAACUAUUUUCCAUCGCGGUUGACCCUCGGGUCUCCGUCGAGGUGGCCCUUAUAGACUUAGGGCGCCUCACGUUCCGUUGGCCCUUCGCCCCCCUGAGGUGGCUGCCUGGGACGACCUCCUACAAUGCAUUGCCCUGCAACCUAGCCCAUAGACGUUGA
rnacentral:rRNA from 1 species